UCAGAAAGAGGAUCAAAAUGGAACUGUCAAAAUCAGGCGAGGGAAGGCACUUUGAAGAGGAUUCUAACGCAAGGAUUUCUGUGCAAGAACAAGGUUGUUUG